rnacentral:lncRNA from 1 species
CUGAGAGGAAGAGAGAAAGGGAGGGAGGAGGAGAGAUAGAGAGAUGGAGAGACUGAGAGAAGGAGAGACAGAGAUUGUCCAGCUGUGUGACUUGGGGUGAGAUAAUGUACCUCUCUGAAUUGCUGUUUCCUUAUAAAAAGGGGUGAUGGUCAUGGUCCUGGCCCACAGGGCUGCCUGGGGAUCACAUGGGACGCCCCAUGUGAAGCACUCGGCAGGAAGCCGGGCGCAGAGCGAGUACUCGGCAGUGUCAGCUACAAUCAUUGUAAGGAAUUGGACUUCGUCCUAAGAGACGAACUUGGAGGGUUUUUGAAGAGAGGAAACCAGCAGUGUGGGUCUGAGGGAGGACGCAGGGAGACCCCUCGACUGUCGGCCACCAGGUCCAGCAGGAGCAUCGUCUCCUCCGACUCUCUGGGAACUGGGGAUGAGGCUGAAUCUCCACGGGCCUCAGAUCUCCCGCCAGGCCCCCUGAGGAGGCCCUCGGACCUGCCACCGUCCCCUUCUGCAGGGCAGCGGGAGGUGCAGGGCUUUCCAUGCAUCGAGGCGUGGGCCCAUCUGCUUCCAGUUAGCAGCUCCGGGGGAGCCUAAUUGGCAGAUCAAACCCUUCGAUGUUCCGUGUUAGGUAAGUAGUUAGAGCAGCCCCCGCGGAGGCUGACACUUUUGGACGGAGCCCAAGCCCUCCGUCGGACCACCUCGGGCCUGGGGCGCUAAUGGGAACCAGACCUCGCGCCGGAAGGGGGAGGAUAGUCACAGGUGUCAAAAAGCUUUGAAUCGCCGGGCAGAUGCGGCUCUGGCCCCGCCCUCCGGCCGGGGUGGGCGCGGGGCCCCUGAAACUCAAGCCUGAACGUUGAGGAGGAGGGAAGAGCUCCCGGAGGGCGGUUUCCUCUGAGACAUCCAUCCGAGAGCUGGCGGGUCCGGCAGAGAUGGACAUAGCGGGAAGCUACCGGGCUCCGAGCGGAGAGACCUCAGUUUUUGCUUCCUGGAGGCCCUGCUGUGGGUGGCACGCCGUGAAGGGCUGGCUUUCACUGUGUGACUUUGGGCUGGUGGCUUUACCUCUCAGAGGCUCAGCUUCCACA